UACAGAGGUCCCAAGCGUUGUUCGGAUUCACUGGGCGUAAAGGGUGCGUAGGCGGUCGGGUAAGUCUGACGUGAAAUCUCCGGGCCUAACCCGGAAACUGCGUUGGAAACUGCCUGGCUAGAGGAGUGGAGGGGAGACUGGAAUACUUGGUGUAGCAGUGAAAUGCGUAGAUAUCAGGAGGAACACCGGCGGUGUAGACGGCUUUCUGGACCGUAACUGACGCUGAGACACGAAAGCGUGGGUAGCAAACAGG
rnacentral:rRNA from 1 species